GAACCACGUGAUGAGAAAGGAUUUGUUUAAACUCACGACGGUCAUCUGAGACACAUGUCAGAGAUGAUUCAAUAUCCUAUCCUUCUGAUGGUU